rnacentral:misc_RNA from 1 species
AGGCUGCCAAACUGAGAUGGCCGGAUUUGUCCGACGCUGUGGAUUCCACCAUGGAAGAGUGGAUUGUCGAUCAGAUGUUCAUUGUGCGGCCUGUGGUGGAAACUGGAUAUGAAAAUCUUUUACUUGUGAGGUUGCUUCUGGAGAUGAGAAUACCAUCCAUUAGGAAGUCUUCGGUUGCAGAGGGAUUAACAGUCGAGGGGAUAUUGGAAAACUGGUUGAAGAUAAAACCUAUAAUUAUGGAAGCAUGGGGUGAGAAUAGGGAUGCUUUAAUAAAUCUCUUUGGAGAGGUCAGGGAUAAGUGGAUGGAUGAGGAUUUGGCAACAUGGAUCCGAGCAAACAGGUAUUUCAAUCAAGUUUUAAGAGAUGGAAAAAGCAAAUAAUAUUUUUACUAAGUGCAUGAUGAAUAAACCUAAACCAAAAGUUAUGGGUCAGAAAGAUACCAUUUUCAUUGUUAUUGCUAUGGGAAUUUUUGGAGUUGAAGUCCUUUGCAUUUUGGAGAUGCUAGACAUUGUGCAUAACUACUUUCACUUUCAUUCAGGGGAUAUUCUACAAGAAAGCAAUCACUCUAGAGAAUAUACAAGAUUGUCAUGCUUUCUUUAACACUGGUUAUAAGGAUUGUGUUGGCACCUUUCCCUUUCUGGGUAACACUUGAUGUCGUAAAUUGAAUUUCGUGUCUUGAAAGCUCAAAGAUCUUUUCUAGUCUGUUCACCAAGUAUUGGCAAAUCUUAAAUGCAAUUGUGUGAUAUGAGAUUUUAUUUGCAAAACUGCUUUAGACUUGAUAAUUUAGCCCUCAAAUAUCUGACUAGAGGUUGCUUCUUCUGCAGAUUCUACCCAGGUGUUCCUGAAGCUUUGAAAUUUGCCAGUUCUAAGGUGUAUAUCGUCACCACAAAACAGGUGUGACCUAUUAUAUCUUUUGCAUGUUCUUCCAGAUAGAAGCUGGCAUUCAUGCGGUGUUAGAACAUUCUAGCUAAGUCCUUGUCAGGUUUAAGAAGGAAGAGGAAAAAGUAGGAAUUUCAAGAUAUUUAAAGCAUUUAGUAUUUUACAUCUUCUUUGUUGUCUUAAUCCUUCGUCUCCCUUUGUUUUUCUCUUUCUAUCAGAGCCGAUUUGCAGACACUUUAUUACGAGAGCUUGCUGGAGUAAUAAUUCCACCGGAAAGAAUAUAUGGUUUGGGAACGGGGUUAGUAUGUAGUGAUUAAAUGGUAUUGGGAAAGCUAUGUUGGCUUCUUUGAUUCUUUCAACCAUGGUUUGCUUCCAAUAAUGACAAGUUUUUUACUUCUUUUCCACCCUUACUUUGGUUAUACUUUUUAGUCCCAAGGUGGAAGUUCUGAAGCAACUCCAACAGAAACCAGAACACCAGGGACUGACACUGCAGUAAGACAUAUUGACGCUCGCUUUUAUUUGUUAUAAAAUUUGAUCCUUUGAUGGACCUUUUGCCAACCUUCUCUAUUAUUAUUAUUUUUUGCUUUCUGGUGAAUUUAAAUUGAAAACUGAAAUUGACUCUCCUAAAUUUUAGUUUUUUGGAAGAUCGACUUGCAACCCUAAAGAAUGUCAUAAAAGAGCCUGAAUUGGACGGAUGGAACUUGUACUUAGGUAUUAUCUACUCUCUUUAAGCUUCAGUUACUUGUACCUAUUUGUUUUUUAUGGUUGCUGAGGUUGACUAAUUGGCACAGGGGAUUGGGGUUACAACACUCAGAAAGAGAGAGAAGAAGCAGCUAGCAUUCCCAGGAUUCACCUUCUACAGAUCUCUGACUUUAGUAAGAAGCUGAAAUAGUUACUGAUUUACCAUACAUGUCAGAUCAGCCGAUUCAUUCUGCAGGACUGUGAUUUUUCUUUAUAUAUGCUGGAGUUUGGGUAACAGAUUAAACCCAGAAAUUUAUUCUUUUCUCCUUAAAAUGCAAUAUUACUUAUAUUGCAACUUGCAAGUGACAUCGAAUAACAAAUGGCACUGGCUUGCAUUUCAAGCUAAUAGACAGCAAUUCAAUUGAAUUGGGGUAAAAACUGAUCGGUAUUCAAAACCAAAUUGACAAGCGUUCAAUCAUCACAUCAAUGUGUGAACAAGCUGUAUUCAGAACGGGAAUAAAGUGGACAUUUUGAAUAUAAUACAAGAAGCUUGCAAUAUUUGAACUUCUAAAUUAAAUUCAACAGGGAAGGGGAAAUAAAGAAUAUAUUCUCAAAAUACUCGUUGACUUUGGGAAGCUUUAACUCUAUAUACGUCUCGAAAUUCAAAUCAAAACUUGUACGAGAGAGGCUGAGAAAGCACAUAAUAAUAUGCAUGAGUCGGUAACACUACAGCAGGAUAUCUUAUGGCAGCGAGAGAAAGCCUGCGCUAACGCCUGGGAAGGAUUACCGUAUGAUUGGUAAAAUAUGAGUGAUACUCUGAAACAAAAGAUGAAGUCACACUUCCAUGUCGGAUAAUGAGUAAUAACGAAGCAUGAUUAGGAGUUAAAUGUGAUUGGAAAAGAAAAUGAAGGAGAACUAAUUAGUGGAGGGUUGAGGGUAAAGUGCUACAAUUAGAGACUACAAAGUUAAAUGUACAAUGAACUAAUGUUAAGAUUAAUGGGUCAAAGUUGCAUGUAAUGUAGAUCCGGUAAACUAUAAUUCUUCUUUCAGACGCUUAACAGUAUCAGUUGUCUUGUCGUUACAUUGAAGCUUCUCAAUAACUUCCUCCAAGGGAGGAUCUCCAGGUCUACGGAAGACUUGAUCCCCAAUCUUGAUCUCAUAAGCCUCUGGUUCGUUUAAGAUGAACUCCGUCAACUGAUAAGAGAAUAUGGGAAAGAUGACGUGCUAGAAGAACAUAAAAUCAGAUGUUCAAGAAAUUGCAUGCCAAACUUGAAAGACUGAACAAGAAUGUAAUGAAUAUUUCACUGCUUGGAUAUGAGAUCAGAAACAAAAGAUUCGGCAAAUUAUAGGCCGAAAGCGUAUAAUUUCAGCAUCUUCAUGGAAAUGGGAGUUCCG